GUCAGUCUGGCCUAGUGGUACAUUAACACAGAUUCGGGAGGGCGCUCGGCUGCGGUGCUGACUGCAAUAGGAAAUACAGGUCGUGGGUUGCCACUCUGAGGGUUACUGGUUCGAGUCCGGUGGCGGGCA